AACACAAAAAUUAGCCGGGCAUGAUGACUCUCAUCUCUUACUGUAUAAAGAGUGGAGAGAUCCUUGGAAUGAAGAUAACCAAGAUGACACAUUGAAAAAAAUGGCAGAUCUUUCCCUUGGACUGUACCAUGUUUAAAAUGUGAGUCUAUAUUCUCAUGACAAAUGUUUUUGUCAUCUUCUACUUAAGUGGAACGCACCAUACAAGAGGACCUGUGUUAGAAA